UAUGUAUUGUUUUGUUUACUUUAUAAUAGCAAAAUAGAUACAGUUCACACAUAGUAGCAUUAUUUUUCAGCUAUCCAAAUACAUUGUAGCAUGAAAUGUAUCCACAACUUUGAUCAUGUUUUUGUGCUUUAACAUGGGACACACACUUUUUUACUAGGUAAAGUGCAUGGGACAAGCAUAUUUUUAUUCUGCCAGUCACCAUGGGAUCAAGAGAAUUAUUUCAGACAAUUUUCUUUUUGCACCGGUCCCAUGCAUCAAGAAAUUUUGACCGGUCCCUAAGGCAAAU
rnacentral:lncRNA from 1 species